AACAGUCAGUAACAGGAAGAACAGUCAGUAACAGGGAGGGACAGGAAGAACAGUCAGUAACAGGGAGGGACAGGAACAACAGUCAGUAACAGGAAGAACAGUCAGUAACAGUCAGUAACAAGAAUAACAGUCAGUAACAGGGAGGGACAGGAACAACAGUCAGUAAAAGGGAGGGACAGGAAGAACAGUCAGUAACCGGAAGAACAGUCAGUAACAGGAAGAGCAGUCAGUAACAGGGAGGGACAGGAACAACAGUCAGUAACAGGAAGAGCAGUCAGUAACAGGGAGGGACAGGAACAACAGUCAGUAACAGGGAGGGACAGGAACAACAGUCAGUAACAGGAAGAACAGUCAGUAACAGGGAGGGACAAGAAUAACAGUCAGUAACAGGGAGGGACAGGAACAACAGUCAGUAACAGGAAGAACAGUCAGUAACAGUCAGUAACAAGAAUAACAGUCAGUAACAGGGAUGGACAGGAAGAACAGUCAGUAACAGGAAGAACAGUCAGUAACAGGGAGGGACAGGAACAACAGUCAGUAAAAGGGAGGGACAGGAAGAACAGUCAGUAACCGGAAGAACAGUCAGUAACAGGAAGAGCAGUCAGUAACAGGGAGGGACAGGAACAACAGUCAGUAACAGUCAGUAACAGGAACAACAGUCAGUAACAGGAACAGUCAGUAACAGUCAGUAACAGGAAGAACAGUAAGUAACAGGGAGGGACAGGAACAACAGUCAGUAACAGUCAGUAACAGGAAGAACAGUCAGAAACAGGGAGGGACAGGAACAACAGUCAGUAACAGGGAGGGACAGGAACAACAGUCAGUAACAGUCAGUAACAGGAAGAGCAGUCAGUAACAGGGAGGGACAGGAACAACAGUCAGUAACAGGGAGGGACAAGAAGAACAGUCAGGAACAGGAAGAACAGUCAGUAACAGGGAGGGACAGGAACAACAGUCAGUAACAGGGAGGGACAGGAACAACAGUCAGUAACAGGAAGAACAGUCAGUAACAGGGAGGGACAGGAACAACAGUCAGUAACAGGAAGAACAGUCAGUAACAGGGAGGGACAGGAAGAACAGUCAGUAACCGGAAGAACAGUCAGUAACAGGGAGGGACAGGAACAACAGUCAGUAAAAGGGAGGGACAGGAAGAACAGUCAGUAACCGGAAGAACAGUCAGUAACAGGAAGAAGUCAGUAACAGGAAGAGCAGUCAGUAACAGGGAGGGACAGGAACAACAGUCAGUAACAGGAAGAGCAGUCAGUAACAGGGAGGGACAGGAACAACAGUCAGUAACAGGGAGGGACAGGAACAACAGUCAGUAACAGUCAGUAACAGGAAGAACAGUAAGUAACAGGGAGGGACAGGAACAACAGUCAGUAACAGGAACAACAGUCAGUAACAGGGAGGGACAAGAAGAACAGUCAGGAACAGGGAGGGACAGGAACAACAGUCAGUAACAGUCAGUAACAGGAAGAACAGUCAGUAACAGGGAGGGACAGGAACAACAGUCAGUAACAGGGAUGGACAGGAAGAACAGUCAGUAACAGGAAGAACAGUCAGUAACAGGGAUGGACAGGAAGAACAGUCAGUAACAGGAAGAACAGUCAGUAACAGGGAGGGACAGGAAGAAUAGUCAGUAACAGGGAGGGACAGGAAGAAUAGUCAGUAACAGGAAGAACAGUCAGUAACAAGAAUAACAGUCAGUAACAGGGAGGGACAGGAAGAACAGUCAGUAACAGGGAGGGACAGGAACAACAGUCAGUAACAGGGAUGGACAGGAAGAACAGUCAGUAACAGGAAGAACA
ensembl:lncRNA